GGGGGCGACAUGGUUUCGACGAGUUGGUUGAAGCUGUAGUGGCGCGCCGAGGACCCCGGUUGGCCUCGUUAAACUUCCGGGAAAAAACAAUAAGUGCCGAUGAAAAUCUGGCUCUCGCGGCCUAAUAGUGCUGCGACGUCUCCCUGCUGACACCUGCUGGGUAGAGUGAGGCGACGAUAGCAGGAUAGCUGUUGGGUUGGGUAGCCGGGCCCGCAGUGAAACUUAACGUGGCUGCUGGUUCAUGUGAUGGCCUGUCUGUCGGCAGUCACAUGGAUGAGAUUUAAUGACAGGACACGCGCGUAGAGACUACGGUGACUCCAGCACGGACGGGGGUUCGAUUCCCCCCGCCUCCACCA
rfam:Lentisphaerae bacterium RIFOXYC12_FTLL_60_16 rifoxyc3_full_scaffold_1027, whole genome shotgun sequence.